GUUAGGCACCAUAGAGCUUCAAACACACCUUAUCUUGUCUGACUGGGAAGCUAUGCAGGUUCAGGUCUGGUCUGUACUUGGAUGGGAGACCAUCAAGGGAUGUCAGGAUCAUGAAAU
rnacentral:rRNA from 1 species